rnacentral:rRNA from 1 species
CCUACGGGUGGCAACAGUGAGGAAUAUUGGUCAAUGGACGCAAGUCUGAACCAGCCAUGCCGCGUGCAGGAAGACGGCUCUAUGAGUUGUAAACUGCUUUUGUACGAGGGUAAACGCAGAUACGCGUAUCUGUCUGAAAGUAUUGUAUGAAUAAGGAUCGGCUAACUCCGUGCCAGCAGCCGCGGUAAUACGGAGGAUUCAAGCGUUAUCCGGAUUUAUUGGGUUUAAAGGGUGCGUAGGCGGUCGGAUAAGUUAGAGGUGAAAGCCUGAGGCUCAACUUCGGAAUUGCCUUUGAUACUGGUCGGCUAGAGAGUAGUUGAGGUAGGCGGAAUGUAUGGUGUAGCGGGGAAAUGCUUAGAGAUCAUACAGAACACCGAUUGCGAAGGCAGCUUACCAAGCUACUGCUGACGUUGAGGCACGAAAGCGUGGGGAGCAAACAGGAUUAGAUACCCGUGUAGUC